rnacentral:rRNA from 1 species
CACGGGUGCGUAACACGUAACUAACCUACCCAGAACUGGGGGAUAGCCCGCCGAAAGGCGGAUUAAUACCGCAUAACACGAGGUGGCGGCAUCGUCUCUUCGUUAAAGAUUUAUUGGUUUUGGAUGGGGUUGCGGGUCAUUAGCUAGUUGGGUAGGUAACGGCUGCCCAAGGCGACGAUGACUAGGGGAGCUGAGAGGCUGGUCCCCCACACGGGCACUGAGAUACGGGCCCGACUCCUACGGGAGGCAGCAGUAGGGAAUAUUGGGCAAUGGGCGAGAGCCUGACCCAGCCAUGCCGCGUGCAGGACGAAGGCUUUCUGAGUCGUAAACUGCUUUUGACAGGGAAGAAUAAGGCUUACGUGUAAGCUGAUGACGGUACCUGCAGAAUAAGCACCGGCUAACUCCGUGCCAGCAGCCGCGGUAAU